rnacentral:lncRNA from 1 species
ACUGGGCACAAAAGACAGUCACACAGGGCUUCUGUCACCAUAAAGGGAAAGGAUGAGUCACUUCAUGACACGUGAGACGCUUCAUGACAACCAUGAACAUUCUUUCAAACUACAGUGCAGAACUUCUCAAUGUGCGUCCCUAAUGGGAAGGGAAUGGUCUUCAGCUGGGAAAUGGAAGAAGGUGAGCCCAAGAAAAUGGCAGAAGUCCCUGGGAAAGCCUAGGCUUAGUCUUCAUGAGCACUGCAACUUCACUUGUUAAAGAUGUGGUGAUCUUGAUGUGUGGUCAUUCAAUAAAGCUCUAGGAAUGGACGAGGAAGAAAGGAGGCAGAGAAGGGAUGCUGAGGGAACUGGACACAGAAUGGGAGCCCCAAUCCCAAAAGCAGGAAGCACUCAGGGUGCUACAGCAGAUCAGCCCUUGGGACACCUCACUCGUCAGCCCUGUCCACCAGGGAGUGUGAAUCUGAGCAGGAUGAAAAUCAUGCUGUUCUUGAGAGGAAGAGAAGUGCAACCACUAAAAAGCCAAACCAACAUGCUACUGCAGGGAACUGGCGUGGCUUGGAUGGCCCCCAGAAAGACACAUGAAGCCCUAACACCCGCUAUCUCAGAAUGGGACCUGACUUGGAAAUGCAGCACUGUAGAAGCAAUCAAGUUAAGAAUGAGGUCGUCAGCCAGGAGACCGAGCCGGUGAGGACUCCCAGGCUUGCCCACCAGCCUCCAGCUUGGCCACACAGGCGCCUGCAACAAGAGACACCACCCAACCCCCCACCCCACCCCCGCCUCUUGGCUGUACAGCUACGUGGAUCCACACUACAGAGGCACAGGAGAGCAUAAAGGCCAUUGUUCUGAGGUACAGAAGUGAACAACAGAGAGAGGGGCUCUCUCAGGCUCCCUGAUGAAAACUGAAGCCCACUGGAAAAAUGAAGAGAAUCUCUGCAAUAAAGGCACACCAGACCACCAAGCUUGGUAAAUUGGAGGGAUCAUCACCUCCCAUCAGAACCUGGACUAUCUUCAGGGGAAGGGCAGCUAGAACCUGCAGUAGAACCUCACAGAGUUCAACCCUGCAGGAGGACAGGGACCUCAACUUGGGACUUGCAGCCAGAAAUCUGCCUGAAUCUCAUGAGUCAGUGACUGGCUUACUGAGACUCAUUGACAUAUCUGCACACUGCUGCCCUCAUUGUCUAUUGUGACAGCAGAGACAUACCCUGAAGGAAGCCCUUCAUUUUUAUCUUUUAUUUGUUAUUUUCAAAAUUACUACUAUGUUUUUUGCUCCUAUUUUUAAUUUUUUUCUUCUUUGCUACUCUUUUAAAAUUUUUAUUUUUCUCUUUUUUCUUUCUUUUUUCUUCUCUCUCUCUCUGCCUUGCUCCUUUGCUGUCCCACAUUGUUCUUCAUCUCCCUUUGUGUUCCUGAUCUGCCCCUAAUUCAUAUUUCUUCUUUAUCUUUCUUUUCUUCUCUUUCCUUCUCUUGCCUGUGCUCUCUGGCCUCACUGCUAACCUUCCCCUAUCCUUCUAUCCCUCCCACCCCAGCUCCUUCUAACUCCCCACCCCAAAGGGUA